rnacentral:rRNA from 1 species
AUUGAACGCUGGCGGCAGGCCUAACACAUGCAAGUCGAACGAGAGGCGGACGGGUGAGUAAUGUAUGGGAAACUGCCUGCAGGAGGGGGAUAACUACUGGAAACGGUAGCUAAUACCGCAUACCAUCGGAUGUGCCCAGAUGGGAUUAGCUUGGUGGUGGGGUAACGGCUCCCCAAGGCGACGAUCCCUAGCUGGUCUGAGAGGAUGACCAGCCACACUGGAACUAGGACACGGUCCAGACUCCUACGGGAGGCAGCAGUGGGGAAUAUUGCACAAUGGGCGCAAGCCUGAUGCAGCCAUGCCGCGUGUAUGAAGAAGGCCUUCGGGUUGUAAAGUACGUUCAGCGGGGAGGCGUUACCCGCAGAAGAAGCACCGGCUAACGCCGUGCCAGCAGCCGCGGUAAUUC